CGUGUAGGCGGGUGCGAAAGUCCGGUGUGAAAGCCCUCGGCUCAACCGAGGAAUGCCAUUGGAAACUGCGUACCUUGAGUGCGGGAGGGGAGAGUGGAACUCUUGGUGGAGCGGUGAAAUGCGUAGAUAUCAAGAGGAACGCCGGUGGCGAAAGCGACUCUCUGGCCCGUAACUGACGCUGAGGCGCGAAAGCCAGGGUAGCGAACG
rnacentral:rRNA from 1 species